CUGGUCCUGGUCCUGGUCCUGGUUUUGGUCCUGGCUCUGGUUCUGGCUCUGGUCCUGGUCCUGGUCCUGGC
rnacentral:miRNA from 1 species